ACCCUAAUUCUAAUCUUUGUGUUACAAAUCUUUCCAUAAAUGCGUCUCCUUUUCUGUCGUAGUCAGUGGAGUGUGCUGAGUAAUAAUGAAACUCAUCUGAUUCUGAAUCAUCUGGUGCCUUCAGACUAGAAAAGGCAGAAGGCAGGUGAGACCAGGUUGAACACUGGCCGAAUCCAGGGGAUGACUUUGAAAAACAAGGUAUAUUUUAAUGUAAAUCCCCAUGAAUUUAUGUUGUGUCACCAUCCUUAGGGGACCGGGCCCGACUAAGCCAGCACCUGCUGACCCCUCCCCCACCCCUCCCUCCGCACCUCCCCCCACUCCUUCCCCUCCCCAGUCACUGGCCUCUGGGUCACAGAGACCUUCUUCAGUGAAUGCCUCAGCCCCCUCUGGCCUCCAGGCAGCAUGCACUGUUCCCUUUGCCUGAAAUACCUUUCCUCCCUUCUCACCAGGCUGACUCUUGCUCAGUCCUCAGGCCCCUCUGAAAUGUCACUUCCUCAGGGAGGCCUGCCCUGCCUGCUCUCUCCCCCAGACUCGUUUUUUUUAUUGCCUUCAUGCUUAUGGCUCUUGCGCCUUUUGUUUUUUCAGGGCAUUUAUGGAUAUUUGUGGCCAUGUGUUUAUUUGCAUGUUUCUUUCUUUCAUGUCUGUCUCCUCAGCCAGACAGUGACCUCUUUCAGGGCAGGGACUGGGUUCGGCUCCCUGCUCACAGCCCCAGGACCUAGCACAGCACCUGGCCCACAGCACACCCACAGAAAGCUUUGUUGAAUGAACGAAUGAAUGAAUGCAUGCAUGCGUUUUCCAUUGCUUCAUAAAGACGAAAGAAAGAUUCCUGCUAAUUGAAGCUCCUGGCUAGGGAUGUUUGUCCUACGCCCCGGGGCUGAGCCUGGGGAAGCCAGGAGAGAGGGGCUGGGUCCCUCCCAGUGCAGUCUGCCAUCCACUUCUUCUGUGGAACUCUCCCAGGCUCACUUGGAAACAAACAGAGGGUUUUUUUUUUUUUGAGAAUCCAUUUCCUCAUUUCAGAUUCUCCACCACACUGAAUGGGAGGUCGGCAGGUAUCAUUCUCACUGUUUUACAAGAUGCUUUUGCCCAGAGAGGCACGUUGGAGCCAUUGCUGGAACCAGCCUUGGGCAAAUGAGUCAGAAGUCAGCACCCCAGGAGCCCCAAACAGAGAGGGUGGAUUUUUUCACACCCAAAUGGAGUCUUCCUUUCUGGAGGCUCAGGAGAAGGACCUCACGACGGGUCACUGCUGUUUGUUGAGCACACGCUGGUGCCACGCUGGGCGAAUUGCUUGUUAUCUCUGUACAGGUUUACGAUCACUCAGCGGACCGGACGAAGAAAUUGGCACAAAAGGUUCAGUCACUUGAGCAAGGCACCCAGCUAGCUAGCUAGUUAAGUGCUGCUGGUAGGAUCUGAACCCAGAUCUACUGACGUAUAGACUCUUAACCUUAUACUUCAAGGCAAAGAAAAUCCCAGGGGUGCCGAGGAGACGCUGUCGAGAUGUCCCCGAAACCGCGCGGCACAGAGAAGCCCACGGACAACCCCGGGUG